GUAGGGAAUCUUCCACAAUGGACGAAAGUCUGAUGGAGCAACGCCGCGUGAGUGAAGAAGGUUCUCGGAUCGUAAAACUCUGUUGUGAGGGAAGAACAAGUACCGGAGUAACUGCCGGUACCUUGACGGUACCUCAUUAGAAAGCCACGGCUAACUACGUGCCAGCAGCCGCGGUAAUACGUAGGUGGCAAGCGUUGUCCGGAAUCAUUGGGCGUAAAGCGCGCGCAGGCGGUCCCUUAAGUCUGAUGUGAAAGCCCACGGCUCAACCGUGGAGGGUCAUUGGAAACUGGGGGACUUGAGUGCAGAAGAGGAAAGCGGAAUUCCAAGUGUAGCGGUGAAAUGCGUAGAGAUUUGGAGGAACACCAGUGGCGAAGGCGGCUUUCUGGUCUGUAACUGACGCUGAGGCGCGAAAGCGUGGGGAGCAAACAGGAUUAGAAACCCCAGUAGUCC
rnacentral:rRNA from 1 species